AUGACCUCUGUGUUACUUCAACCUCUUAGGAACAAAAGUGACGUGAUCCUUUUAUUAAACAAAGGAGCGAUGGAAAUCAAGCAAGCAAUCGAUGUCUUUAAACUCUCCUGUGACUCAGCUGGAGACAACAGCCUGUGCAACGAGCAUCUUUGCAAUGUUUUUGUAAGGAGAAUAGCAGGAGGGAGGGGGAGUGCGAAGGAAAGAGCGAGUGAAAAACUGAAAGAGAGAUAUCGAGACCUGGCUCAUGGUUUGCCAUGCUGAGCAGGUCCACCACCUUGAGCAUCAAACCAGUGACUGUCCAAGAUGUGGGCACUUCAGAAAUGAAAAGUGGGUGUCUUGCCUCAGUUAGAGAUCAAUCAUACACAACAAACAUGGAUUAACAUUUGACUGUGUAAUCUACAUGAAAAUGCUGCCAAUCGAUCACUUGAAAUGUUUAUUGAUGUUCCUUUCAGCAUGAGACUGCGGCCAGGCUAAACAAGUCAGUGCAUUAAUCAUCUGAAGUGAAGAGAAGAAAAACAUUACACCACGAGAAAUACUGCAAAGUGCCUUCGGUUUUGCAAAGGCCAUCAGAUUGCAUUCAGCUAAUCAGGUACAGCAAUAUUGGUUAAUAAGCUAAAAGAAGACAUCUAAAAUAGUCUAUAGCAGUUAUUUCUUUCAUGUCUUGGCUGUAUGACUUCCUUUUUCUGUAGAACACAAAAGAAUAUACAUUGAAGAAUAAGAAUAUGUUUUUCAUCUACAUUCUUAAAAAUAAGGAUUCCCCAAAAGUUUUUGUUUGUUUUUCUUAGCAUUGAUGGUUACCCGAAGAACCUUUAACAUUCAUGGAAACUUUCAAUUGCAUAGUUAGAAAAAGGUUCUUUAGAUCAUUAAAAAUGUUAAUCACAUUAAGAAAAAAAAAAAAAAAAAAAAGUUUUUAUUUUUUACAAGAACUGUUUAAUGAAAGGUUCCAAAAAUGGUUCUUCUAUAGCAUUGCCAUGAAAACCCCUAUGGCACCUUUAUUUUUUAGAGUUUAAAGAAACCUUUUCACUAUAAAGGCAAGGUUCUAUAGUUGUUAAAGGUUUUUAUUUAUCUCUUACUGACUUUGAUUCUUCAAACAUCAUCUUUUUUUGUUCUGCAGGAAAUAAGAAGUCAUACAGGUUUGGAAUGACAUGAGGGUGAGUAAAUGUUGACAGAAUUUACAUUUCUGUGUCAACUAACCCUAAACUUUGUCUGUUUCUCACAGAAAGAAGUUAGACGUCUUAUACAAAGCGUGAGUCGGGAUCUGUAUCUGGGGCUCUAGUUGUCCUGGUCUCCGCUGUCUUUCAGGGAAGUAGAGGUCCUUUCUAGGUGCUGAUCCACCAUCUGGUCUGGAUACGUAGUGGAUCCGGGUGACUGCAGUGACCCUCUGAUCUGGACACAGACUGGAUCUGGUGGCCACGGUGACCUCGGAACAAGAGAGAAACAGACAAAUAUUAGCGUAGAUGCCAUUCUUCUAAUGAUGUAGAAAGUACAUAGGGUGUUAUGGGAAGUGUUCCCGGUUCCGGUUUACCUAAUUAAUGCAGCCUAAAAAUCCUUUAAUGGAUUUGGAUAUUAAAAGCAUAUUAGUAUGUUAUGUGUAUGCCAGGUUAAAGAGAUGGGUCUUUAAUCUAGAUUUAAACUGCAAGAGUGUGUCUGCCUCCCGAACAAUGUUAGGUAGGUUAUUCCAGAGUUUAGGCGCCAAAUAGGAAAAGGAUCUGCCGCCUGGAGUUGAUUUUGAUAUGCUAGGUAUUAUCAAAUUGCCUGAGUUUUGAGAAUGCAGCGGACGUGGAGGAUUAUAAUGUAACAGGAGCUCAUUCAAAUACUGAGGUGCAAAACCCUUCAGUGCAUCAUAAGUUAUAAGCAAAAUUUUAAAAUAUAUUGUCUAUUUUUACCAGUUCCAGUUACCACAUUUAAUAAUUGUUGACAAUUAAGCAGUAAAUUCUUCAAAACAUAGAGGAAAGUCAGUUACGGAGGAUUGAAAUGAGAUAAGGACGAGUAAAUAAUUUUCAUUUGAAGUGAACCCAUCAGUUAGUGUUGUAAACCAGCCUGGAGAAACACAACCGUUCUUGGCUGCUAAUUACAUACAAAUGACUUGUGAUGGGACCAGAACGAUGGGUGGUCAAAGUUCAAUGGCUUUGGUUCAAGUUUAAUGGCGAUCAAAUCACCAGGGUUCCUUCUCCGAGGGCCCGCGACCGGCUAAUGGCCAUGACCGAGAGUGUGAGGGUCGCAUCUGGAUCAUUUCCAUGACAAUCAGGGUGGCGCUGAAGUAGGCGGGGCAAACGAGGAUGCUCUCUGAGAUAUAGUAGUUGGAUGUGAGGUAUGGCAUCUGUCUACCCUCGUUGAGAUUCUUGAUCUCUUUGACCAGUCAGUGUUGUAUUAUUAAAAUCGCCCUCCGGUCAUAGGAUUAGGGAGGGGUAGGAGCCAGUCAAAAUGAUAGCCCGAAAUGCACUACUGCAGAGGGUGGCAUUGAACAGCUCAGCACGCCGACAGCACAGGGGGGCUGGAAAUGCAGCAAUUAGUCCUGUCUGUCUCUCCGUGCACUAUAAUCAAAAGCUCUGGGGAUGCCAAACAUGCUGAGGCGAUCACAUGAUUCAGGUCUCGCCUCAUUAUGCAUCUUCACAGGUUAGAUCUGGGCUUUGAGAACAAUGGAAUGUAUACUUGAAGUUAACAGAGAAUCAAAAGAAUCAAACUCAGUCAAAUUCUGAUAUGGUUUGCAUGAUCUUCCUUAUAUAUGAUAUUAUAUUAUGGUUUUUGGGCACCUAGUAUCAUCACUUGACGUUGCUUUCCAGGAGAAACAAAUGAGACAGCUGAUACUUGACGGUAUAGUUCAUCCAAAAAUGAAAAUUCUGUCAUUUACUCACCCUCAAGUUGUUCUAAAACUAUGAAAUUCUUUAGAUAUUUUGAAGAAUGUUGGUAACCAAACAUUUGCUGGUAGCCACUCACUUCCGAGUUAUGGGAAAAACAAAACAAACAAAAAAACAACAGCAAUAAAGUAAAUGGCUACCGUUCCAUUACCCAUGUGCACAUUCUUCAAAAUAUUUUGUGUUCAGCAGAAGAAAGAAAUUUAAAAAGGUUUGGAGCAACUUAUGUGUGAGUAAAUUAUGAGAAUGUUUCUUUUUUGGAUGAACUUUCCCUUUAAUAAUCUCCAUUACUUCUACAGAGCUACAGUGUGAAAGCAAAACCUUUGAGCUUCUGCAAAAAAUAAAAAAUAAAUUAAAAAAAGGGAAGCUUUUCUUAAUCAGUGUUUUUGUCUUAAAUUCCAGUAAAUCCCCCCUUGAAACAAGAAAAUUAAAUUGAGCAGCAAGCCUGUGUUAACAAGACUUGUUUUCAGAGGAUUUAAUUAUUUCUUUUUCAUGCACAAACUUUUUAGAUUUAUGCUUAGAAGAAAAAAACAAAAACUGUCAAUGGGGUAAGAAAAGUAAACUUAAUUCAAGUUUUAUUCUCAGAAAACAAGUCUUAAUGUCUUAUUCAAUUGUAAAACAUUUAGCCAUUGUAACUGGAAAACAAAACAAAAUGACUGAUUAUGAAAAUGAUCUUUUGCAGUGCAAUAAAUAUUAUGCCAAAACAAUGCUUUAAACAAGAAAAAAUAAUGGGGUAAGAAAAAUAAACUAUUUAACUAUUAAAAACAUGCCUUGUUAAUUCAAUUCUAAAAGGAUGUUUUAACUGGAAAAAAUACAGAUUAAGAAAAUGAUUUUUUUGCUUUGCAAUACAGUUUUUUUCCUUUGGGAAAAACAAAGUCCAAGGGCUGACUGUAGGAACGCUCUGUCUCAUCAUCUCCGGUCACACAUCACCGAGUUUGCUCCUCAAAGGUAGCGCCAAAGGAGAACAGCAGGGAGGAAGGUUUAUCGAAAGCAAAAUGGUGAUGCAUGUGUUGUUAUUGCCUCCAGGCCCUGCUGAUGCUUUCUUUGAAGAACCUAAUAAUGUGAGUUCUUGUUUGGUCAUGCAGCAGCUGUGUUGGAGUUGGCAGGUGGUUAAACGAGUGACCAGGAGACUGGAUGGUUGGCUGCAGUGUCUCGGCGUCUCUCUCCCCCUGAGUCCAGGUCUAUGGCUGGAACACUGUGACCUAUAGCUGCUCUUGGCAGGGCCGUGGGGUUACCAGAAGGGCAGAACCGCUCUCUGGAUCUGGCAUCUGUGAGUUAUUCACCCUCAUACUGAUUGGUGUUACAGUCUUUUGGCCAUGUCCUUCUGAUUUAGCAUUCCCACACAAACAAUCACACACAUUAUAAAGGUCCUUUCAAGCUAUUUAUUUUCCCAAGAUUGUAAAUAAUGUAAAUAAUCUCUUUUUAAACAGUAAAACUAUAUAAAACCCAC
rnacentral:lncRNA from 1 species